UCGAUUUGGAGUUUGUUGCCCUGAGUGAUGGGCUCCGAAGCUAACGCGAUAAAUCGACCGCCUGGGGAGUACGGCCGCAAGGUUAAAACUCAAAUGAAUUGACGGGGGCCCGCACAAGCGGUGGAGCAUGUGGUUUAAUUCGAUGCAACGCGAAGAACCUUACCUGGUCUUGACAUCCACAGAAUCUUGCAGAGAUGCGGGAGUGCCUUCGGGAACUGUGAGACAGGUGCUGCAUGGCUGUCGUCAGCUCGUGUUGUGAAAUGUUGGGUUAAGUCCCGCAACGAGCGCAACCCUUAUCCUUUGUUGCCAUCGGUUAGGCCGGGAACUCAAAGGAGACUGCCGUUGAUAAAGCGGAGGAAGGUGGGGACGACGUCAAGUCAUCAUGGCCCUUACGACCAGGGCUACACACGUGCUACAAUGGCGUAUACAAAGGGAGGCGACCUCGCGAGAGCAAGCGGACCUCAUAAAGUACGUCUAAGUCCGGAUUGGAGUCUGCAACUCGACUCCAUGAAGUCGGAAUCGCUAGUAAUCGUGAAUCAGAAUGUCACGGUGAAUACGUUCCCGGGCCU
rnacentral:rRNA from 1 species